AGCCAGCAGCCGCGGUAAAACGUAGGAGGCGAGCGUUAUCCGGAUUUACUGGGCGUAAAGCGCGUGCAGGCGGUUUGGAAAGUUGGAUGUGAAAGCUCCCGGCUCAACUGGGAGAGGUCGUUCAAAACUACCGGACUAGAGUACAGUAGAGGGAAGUGGAAUUCCGGGUGUAGUGGUGAAAUGCGUAGAUAUCCGGAGGAACACCAGUGGCGAAAGCGGCUUCCUGGACUGUAACUGACGCUCAGACGCGAAAGCUAGGGUAGCAAACGGGAUUAGAGACCCCGGUAGUCCUAGCUGUAAACGAUGUAGACUUGGCGUAGGUGGGUUCAAAUCCUUCUGUGCCGCAGCAAACGCGAUAAGUCUACCGCCUGGGGACUACGGCCGCAAGGUUAAAACUUAAAGGAAUUGGCGGGGGAU
rnacentral:rRNA from 1 species